rnacentral:rRNA from 1 species
UACGAAGGGGGCUAGCGUUGCUCGGAAUUACUGGGCGUAAAGCGCACGUAGGCGGCUUUCUAAGUCGGGGGUGAAAUCCUGGAGCUCAACUCCAGAACUGCCUUCGAUACUGGAAAGCUCGAGUCCGGGAGAGGUGAGUGGAACUGCGAGUGUAGAGGUGAAAUUCGUAGAUAUUCGCAAGAACACCAGUGGCGAAGGCGGUUCUCUGGGCCUUACCUGACGCUGAGGAGCGAAAGCGUGGGGAGCGAACAGG